rnacentral:lncRNA from 1 species
AGGUCAAGGAUGGGUUGAGAGGAUGGGUCCUCACCGUGCCGUGCCACGACGUACUCCGUGUAAUCCAUCUACAUAAUUAAAAAAAUUAUUAGUGCUAUUGAACAUAUCAAUAUAUAUAAAAACUUAAUAAAUAGUAUUUUAUUUUAUCACGAUCCAUCUAAACCUAAAAUUUAAGUAAUCAUCAGUCCUCCUAGACUUAUGCG